AGAGUUUGAUCAUGGCUCAGAGCGAACGCUGGCGGCAGGCUUAACACAUGCAAGUCGAGCGGGUGUAGCAAUACAUCAGCGGCAGACGGGUGAGUAACGCGUGGGAACGUACCUUUUGGUUCGGAACAACCCAGGGAAACUUGGGCUAAUACCGGAUAAGCCCUUACGGGGAAAGAUUUAUCGCCGAAAGAUCGGCCCGCGUCUGAUUAGCUAGUUGGUGAGGUAAUGGCUCACCAAGGCGACGAUCAGUAGCUGGUCUGAGAGGAUGAUCAGCCACAUUGGGACUGAGACACGGCCCAAACUCCUACGGGAGGCAGCAGUGGGGAAUAUUGGACAAUGGGGGCAACCCUGAUCCAGCCAUGCCGCGUGAGUGAUGAAGGCCCUAGGGUUGUAAAGCUCUUUUGUGCGGGAAGAUAAUGACGGUACCGCAAGAAUAAGCCCCGGCUAACUUCGUGCCAGCAGCCGCGGUAAUACGAAGGGGGCUAGCGUUGCUCGGAAUCACUGGGCGUAAAGGGUGCGUAGGCGGGUUUUUAAGUCAGGGGUGAAAUCCUGGAGCUCAACUCCAGAACUGCCUUUGAUACUGAAGAUCUUGAGUCCGGGAGAGGUGAGUGGAACUGCGAGUGUAGAGGUGAAAUUCGUAGAUAUUCGCAAGAACACCAGUGGCGAAGGCGGCUCACUGGCCCGGUACUGACGCUGAGGCACGAAAGCGUGGGGAGCAAACAGGAUUAGAUACCCUAGUAGUCC
rnacentral:rRNA from 1 species